CACGCCGUAAACGUUGGGCACUAGGUGUGGGUCUCAACCAACGAGAUCCGCGCCGUCGCUAACGCAUUAAGUGCCCCGCCUGGGGAGUACGGCCGCAAGGUUAAAACUCAAAGGAAUUGACGGGGGCCCGCACAAGCAGCGGAGCGUGUUGCUUAAUUCGAUGCAACGCGAAGAACCUUACCUGGGCUUGACAUGUACGGAAAAGCCGUAGAGAUACGGUGUCCUUCGGGGCCGUACACAGGUGG
rnacentral:rRNA from 2 species